rnacentral:tRNA from 1 species
UGGAUAGCUCAGCUGGGUAGAGCACCGGAUCCUGGAUCCGGCUGUCGCGGGUUCGAGUCCCGCUCCAA